rnacentral:rRNA from 1 species
GACGAACGCUGGCGGCGUGCUUAACACAUGCAAGUCGAACGGAAAGGCCCUGCUUUUGUGGGGUGCUCGAGUGGCGAACGGGUGAGUAACACGUGAGUAACCUGCCCUUGACUUUGGGAUAACUUCAGGAAACUGGGGCUAAUACCGGAUAGGAGCUCCUGCUGCAUGGUGGGGGUUGGAAAGUUUCGGCGGUUGGGGAUGGACUCGCGGCUUGUCAGCUUGUUGGUGGGGUAGGGGGUUACCAAGGCUUUGACGGGUAGCCGGCCUGAGAGGGUGACCGGCCACAUUGGGACUGAGAUGCGGCCCAGACUCCUACGGGAGGCAGCAGUGGGGAAUAUUGCACAAUGGGCGGAAGCCUGAUGCAGCAACGCCGCGUGCGGGAUGACGGCCUUCGGGUUGUAAACCGCUUUCGCCUGUGACGAAGCGUGAGUGACGGUAAUGGGUAAAGAAGCACCGGCUAACUACGUG